rnacentral:rRNA from 1 species
UACGGAGGGAGCUAGCGUUAUUCGGAAUUACUGGGCGUAAAGCGCACGUAGGCGGCUUUGUAAGUAAGAGGUGAAAGCCCAGAGCUCAACUCUGGAAUUGCCUUUUAGACUGCAUCGCUUGAAUCAUGGAGAGGUCAGUGGAAUUCCGAGUGUAGAGGUGAAAUUCGUAGAUAUUCGGAAGAACACCAGUGGCGAAGGCGGCUGACUGGACAUGUAUUGACGCUGAGGUGCGAAAGCGUGGGAG